rnacentral:misc_RNA from 1 species
UUGUGGAGGAGGACGCCGAAGGUGGGGCUAAUGACUGGGGUGAAGUCGUAACAAGGUAGCCGUACCGGAAGGUGCGGCUGGAUCACCUCCUAACAGGGAGACAACAAAAUGUUUAAUAUUAUUAUUUUGUCACCUUAGGUCGAUCGGUAUCUCACAUUCUUGAUUUAUUAAGGAUUUUAUUUCCUAAGUUUUUUCUAGGUCACACCCAUUACUUUUCCUGGGCCAUUAGCUCAGGUGGUUAGAGCGCACCCCUGAUAAGGGUGAGGUCCCUGGUUCAAGUCCAGGAUGGCCCAUAUCUCUAUGUUGGGGGUAUAGCUCAGUUGGUAGAGCGCCUGCUUUGCAAGCAGGAUGUCAGCGGUUCGAGUCCGCUUACCUCCACUGAUUACCACCUCUUCCAUAAUUUUCAUAAAGGAAAUGUUUUGAGUAGUGAUCAAAUUCUGAACGAAUCUAGCUUCCUAAUGUAAUCAUUAAGAUGCUGGACUCAUUGAAUUAAAUUCAUUGUUUUCAGAGAACCUUGACAACUGCAUAGAUUAUUUUUAAAGACAAUAAGCAUCUUUAUGAUGCAGAUUUAUUAUUUGUGCAAAUGCAUUAAUAACAAUUCUAUUAAGCUGAUGCUUCAAUUAUGAAGUUAUUGGUCAAGCUACAA